rnacentral:rRNA from 1 species
CCUACGGGUGGCAGCAGUGGGGAAUAUUGCUCAAUGGGGGAAACUCUGAUGCAGCGACGCCGCGUGAGGGAAGAAGGAUCUCGGUAUGGUAAGCUGCUUUAGCAGGGAGGAAAAUGACGGUACGUGAUUAAGAAGCCCCGGCUAACUCCGUGCCAGCAGCCGCGGUAAUACGUAGGGGGCAAGCGUUAUCCGGAUUUACUGGGUGUAAAGGGAGCGUAGACGGCCGGACAGGUCCGGAGUGAAAUGCCGGGGCUCAACCUCGGAAUUGCCUUGGAUACUGUGCAGCUAGAGAGCAGGCGCGGUAGGUGGAAUUCCUGGUGUAGCGGUGAAAUGCGUAGAUAUUAGACAGAACACCAGUUGCGAAGGCAGCUUACUAGACUAUAACUGACGUUGAGGCUCGAAAGCGUGGGGAGCAAACAGGAUUAGAUACCCUUGUAGUC